rnacentral:rRNA from 1 species
UACGUAGGGACCAAGCGUUGUUCGGAUUUACUGGGCGUAAAGGGCGCGUAGGCGGCAAUUCAAGUCAUCUGUGAAAUCUCCGGGCUUAACUCGGAAUGGUCAGGUGAUACUGCUUUGCUAGAGUGCAGAAGGGGCAAUCGGAAUUCUUGGUGUAGCGGUGAAAUGCGUAGAUAUCAAGAGGAACACCUGAGGUGAAGACGGGUUGCUGGGCUGACACUGACGCUGAGGCGCGAAAGCUAGGGGAGCGAACGGG